rnacentral:rRNA from 1 species
GACAGGUGCUGCAUGGCUGUCGUCAGCUCGUGUUGUGAAAUGUUGGGUUAAGUCCCGCAACGAGCGCAACCCUUAUCCUUUGUUGCCAGCGGUCCGGCCGGGAACUCAAAGGAGACUGCCAGUGAUAAACUGGAGGAAGGUGGGGAUGACGUCAAGUCAUCAUGGCCCUUACGACCAGGGCUACACACGUGCUACAAUGGCGCAUACAAAGAGAAGCGACCUCGCGAGAGCAAGCGGACCUCAUAAAGUGCGUCGUAGUCCGGAUUGGAGUCUGCAACUCGACUCCAUGAAGUCGGAAUCGCUAGUAAUCGUGGAUCAGAAUGCCACGGUGAAUACGUUCCCGGGCCUUGUACACACCGCCCGUCACACCAUGGGAGUGGGUUGCAAAAGAAGUAGGUAGCUUAACCUUCGGGAGGGCGCUUACCACUUUGUGAUUCAUGACUGGGGUGAAGUCGUAACAAGGUAACCGUAGGGGAACCUGCGGUUGGAUCACCUCCUUACCUUAAAGAA